rnacentral:rRNA from 1 species
GUGCCAGCAGCCGCGGUAAUACGAAGGGGGCUAGCGUUGUUCGGAUUUACUGGGCGUAAAGCGCGUGUAGGCGGACUUGUAAGUUGGGGGUGAAAUCCCGAGGCUCAACCUCGGAACUGCCUCCAAAACUACAAGUCUGGAGCAAGAUAGAGGCAAGUGGAAUUGCGAGUGUAGAGGUGAAAUUCGUAGAUAUUCGCAGGAACACCAGUGGCGAAGGCGACUUGCUGGAUCUUUGCUGACGCUGAGACGCGAAAGCGUGGGGAGCAAACAGGAUUAGAAACCCCCGUAGUCC